CCGUUGGUCUGCAGAGCGACACAUGAGGGGACCUGGUAAUUCGGUAGAAGUCCGUGUGAUUGUGCUUCAAGUUCAGGACCUCAAGAAGGAUGUGGCUUUUUGCAACUACCAUGUUUUUUCAUUUUUCAGAACCGCUUGUCCCAUAGCUCCUGAGAUCAUUCAGGCACUCAAACCCCUCCACCACGUUAAGGUGGCGGUUCGAGGAGGGGCAUAUUGACAGCCUAUCUCAAUACUUCCUUUCGCCUGCUAAUUCAUUAUGAACUACCAUGUUGUUUGGUCUAAUUUAUGCUCUCAACCUGAAGUUCCCCACAAAGUUGUGCUACACUUUUGAGGUUCCAAGUUGUAUAGAAGAGUCUGAGAAGACAAAGUUAUUUUAUUAAGUAAAAUUAUUAGUGCUGUUAUGUUCUGUUUGUUUACAGAGACAUGCAGUUUAAUGUUUAUGCAGAAAUGUGAGGUGUAACUUGUGUUGCUUAUUGUCUUGUUAACAAAAUGUUUCUUAUGAUGUUUGUGGCCUUCAUGGUGGAAUAGUUAAUAUGUCAAGCUGUAAAAUGGUUGCGUAUGUCUACAUCAGCACAUUUUUCCCGUAUUUCCAGAUACAAGUUGCUUUUAAGUCAAACUUGCCAAUUGACCUGUUAAAGAGAUGUAAUUUAAACUAAGUUUUAAUAGACAUGAUCCUUAAGAGCUAAUCUCUGUAUUUCACAUUGCAGUGCAUUUAAGAGUAUUGUUCAUAUUGCUAUUAAAGGACUGAUGGAUCACUUAAUGAAAUAAAGCCUUUGAAUGUAAAUCUAUUUGUGUUAUU
rnacentral:lncRNA from 1 species